UACGGAGGGUGCAAGCGUUACUCGGAAUCACUGGGCGUAAAGAGUGCGCAGGCGGGCUUGUAAGUCAGAUGUGAAAUCCUGUAGCUUAACUACAGAACUGCAUUUGAAACUAUGAGUCUAGAGUGUGGGAGAGGUAGGUGGAAUUCUUGGUGUAGGGGUAAAAUCCGUAGAUAUCAGGAAGAACACCAGUGGCGAAGGCGGAUUACUGGACGGUAACUGACGGUGAGGCGCGAAAGCGUGGGGAGCAAACAGG
rnacentral:rRNA from 1 species